rnacentral:lncRNA from 1 species
GAAAUUCUGGCUCGCUGCAAUUCAGACUUUUUGGACUGAAAUGUACGUUAAAAAGUUUAGGAAAUAUUUUUGCAGAAGUAGGCAUUUCUGCAGCCCAUUAUAUGUCCGCAUAAUCACUCUACGGUUCGCAGAAUGGGCGUAGAGUGAAGCAGUCUUUUUGGCCAAUUUUUGAGGUCGAUUUCACGGCCCAUUAUGUGACCACAUAUUCAUUUUGCGGGUCGCAAUUUGGUCGUAUAAUCGUCCUUAAAAGUUUGCAGAGGGAGGUUCUGCGAUGCAUUAUAUGACCGUAGAACAGGUUUGCAUGUCGUUGAACAACUGUAGUGUGAAGCAGACCAGCCCAGUCCUAGGGAUAAUUGUUGGGGUCAUUUCGCAGACAGCAUAACCAUUAUACGGUCACAUAUGCGACUGUGUAACCUAUUCCGAAGCCAUGUCGCACACAUGGUGGUAACUCUGUUGGAAAUGAUGAUUGAAAUUGUGGAUAUGGUUGAUCUCUCAAACAAGAUGACCUACCCUAUCGUGUUGAGAUCGAACUCCGGGUAAGAACACAAUGGUAUUGUGGCACAUGGCACUAGGAUUACCAACCUAAUAAGAUGGAAAUUGAACCGAGAACUUAUGUGAUCCUUACUUAAUAUUUUAGUAUUUGUUUCAAGCUCUUAUUGUACAUAAUGACUGCUUCCUCUUUGUUUCAUUGUUCAUUCUAUUAAGACUGGUGUUUAGCUUUACAUACUAGUACUAUUCGAUAGCACUAAUGUUUCAUUUUUCCGGGUGCACUACAUCUUUAAAUGGACGUAGGCGGUUCCAUAGUAGACAAUGUUGAUCGCAGCUAGUGGUACAUCAUCAUCAUCAUAUUCCUAGCAGACUUGGUGUGUCCCAUUUCAUCACGGGGUCAUGUAGUGCAUCUUGUAUUAAUAUGUUCACCACGUUUUGAGGUAUAGUUGGGGACUUAUUGCCGGUAUUCUCAUAGGUGUCUUUUAUAUCUUUAGAGGCUCUGUAGAUAUUUAUGUGGGUUGUGUCUGGGUGCUAAAAAAGUCAGGUGGAUUACAACAUGUUUUGGACUCUUGUUUUACUAGCCCUUCACUUGAAAUAACCAGGCUUCCAAAUUCUCACAAAAAGCGACCGAACUCCACUAGGUUAUGGCAGAGGGUGGUUGUCGCCGGUUCUCAUUCUGCCGGCAGUCUGUUACCAACAACCUCCAUGAGAAGACCACAAAUUUCAGAGAGUUCCCUAAACACUGAGUCCUUGACUUCCUGAACCGAAUCGUCAACUAGAGUCUUGAGUAACUUUCUGUCCUCCAUGAGUGACCUCUGGAUGAAAGCACCAUUGAAACAAACUAAAAUUCGAACAACACAAUCCACAAUCAAUAAAUUCGAUAGUUGUAUUCCUCAACAAUAAUUAUAAGGAACUGAAUGCUUGAAAGGAAAAAUACUGGAAAUUGACAUAGAAGAAGGAGAUGAGAGACUAGAAGAAGGGGAUGAGAAUUACAGUCUUCAUAUAACAAAUUGCCUGCCUAAUACACUAUUCUUCCUAUUAUUUAUACUAAACCUUGCACCACAAAAUCCGCUAACUUCUUUGAUGGAUUCCUCCCGUGUUUGCUUUUUCUCAAAACAGACUGAUGUGGAAUCACAUAGGCCUCUGUUGAGUCAGCAUCCAUAUUGGUUGUAUCAUUCAAAACAUUUAAUUUAUUCAACUGCACAUACACAUCUUUCACAAUCUUCUGAAGAUUAUGAAAAUCCAUAUUUCCACUUUUAUAUGAAACUAUAAUAGAAAAGGUAAAAGGUGGAAAAAAAAUAAGGGAAGUCUUCUUGAAAAAAUGUAGAGUGAGUGACAGGUCG